UGUUCAGAUGUUGAAGCAUUAAUGGGC
rnacentral:piRNA from 1 species